AGGGCACCACCAGGAGUGGAGCCUGCGGCUUAAUUUGACUCAACACGGGAAAACUCACCCGGCCCGGACACUGGAAGGAUUGACAGAUUGAGAGCUCUUUCUUGAUUCAGUGGGUGGUGGUGCAUGGCCGUUCUUAGUUGGUGGAGUGAUUUGUCUGGUUAAUUCCGAUAACGAACGAGACCCUAGCCUACUAAAUAGAUCGUCGGCUUACAAACGCCGGCGAGACUUCUUAGAGGGACAGGCGGUGAUUCAACCGCACGAAACAGAGCAAUAACAGGUCUGUGAUGCCCUUAGAUGUCCGGGGCCGCACGCGCGCUACACUGAAGUGAUCAGCGUGCUUUUUCAACCUACUCUGUCAAGAGUGGGGAACCCAAUGAACCUUCUUCGUGAUUGGGAUAGGGGAUUGUAAUUAUUCCCCUUGAACGAGGAAUUCCCAGUAAGCGCGAGUCAUAAGCUCGCGUUGAUUACGUCCCUGCCCUUUGUACACACCGCCCGUCGCUACUACCGAUUGAAUGUUUU
rnacentral:rRNA from 1 species